CUAAAGAAGUGAAAAGUGGGAAAAAAGAAGGAAUAGAAAAGAACUAAAGAGAAAAAAACGAUGGGGAGAGAUUAGAAAAAUAAAUAGAUAGCUAACAAUAAAGAAAGAAAGAAUGAAAAUGUGAAAGAAAGAAUUAGUGAUAGAGAAGAAGGGGAAUAAAAAGAUAAAUGGGUAUAAAGUGUUUAAAAUAUAUGGAAUGUUAAAAUAAUGACUAGAUGAAGAAAUAAUUGAGAGAAUGAAAGAUUGAAAGUGAUGUGAUGAAUAAAUGAAUGAUAAAAUAGUUGUGACUGAUUGAAUAAUUUCAUUAGUGGGAAGGAAGAAAAAAUUGGAUGAAUGAAUAUAGGAAAGAUUUAAAGAAAAAGAGGGUACAAGAGUUUGAUGAAUGAAAAUCAAGAAUAAUGAUUACACAUAAUAAAGAUAACCGAUGAAAGAAAAACGUAUAAGAAAAAGAAAAUAAUUUAAAAAACAAAAUAAAAUAUUUAGGAAGAAAAUCUGCGGAAAGAUUAUGUGAAAGACUGAAGGAGUGAGAGAAUGGUAUGAAAAAUAUUGGUGGAAUGAGAAUAAAAAAAUUAAAGAAUGAAGGGAGUAGACACAGAAGAGCUGGAAGGAAAAUGAAAGAAGGAAAGAAAAAUGUGAAAGUGAAAGUGGAUAAGAAUAUAAAAAUAAAACAUAAAAUGCCUCGUAAAGAACAGAAGAAUUCAUGAGUGGAGGGAAGAAAAAAUCUGUGAAAAAGAGAUAGUGAAUGAGUGAAGAUGAGAAAGAGGAGAGAAGAGAAAUAAAGAAGGAUAUAAGAAAGAAAUGGGAUGGUGAAUGAAUGACACACUGAAGAAGGAUUUGUCAAAAUAAAGGUUAUAAGAAAAUGAUGGAGUAAAUGAGGAAGGAAAGAACAGAAGAUAAGAUAGAGAAGGAAAGGAAAGAAAGAAGGAAAAAUUUGGGACUGGAAGAAUCAAGGAAAGCACAAAAGAGUAUGUGGAGCAUGUUUGCAGUGUGUGUAUGUGUAUACAACUGUGUAUGCUUAUGUAUGUGUGUGUGUGUGUGAUUCAAUCUUCUAUAUGACUGCAUAUGGACAUGUGUGUUCGAAAGGAUAUAUAUAUAUACACACACACAAAUACAUGCACACAUAUAUAUGUAUAUAUAUAUAUAUAUAUGUAUAUAUAUAUGUGUGUGUAUGUGUGUGCAUGUAUAUGUGUGUGUGUACAUAUAUAUAUAUAUAUAUGUAUGUAUGUAUGUAUGUAUGUAUGUAUGUAUGUACGUAUGUAUGUAUGUAUAUAGUUCAAACUGCAAAAAAAACAAAAUAUGGAAGAAACAGGUAAUAGAACAACAAACAAGGUGUAUUAGUUUAACUUUCACGAAAAAUGGAAAAGUCACAGAGGCAGAGACAUAGACACAGACACACAGACACACACAAAUAUAUAUAUAUAUGUGUGUGUGUGUGUGCAUCACAUGUAUACAUACAUACACACACAGAUAUUUUAUAUAUAUAUAUAUAUAUGUAUGUAUGUAUGUAUGUAUGUAUGUAUGUAUAUAUAUAAAAUAUGCAUAUAUAUACAUACAUUUAUGUAUAUAUGCAUAUAUGUAUGCAUAUAUAUGUAUAGAUUUGUGCAUAUAUGCAUAUAAGUAUUCAUAUAUAUAUAUAUACAUAUAUAUAUGCACAUGAAUAUAUCUAUAUGUAAUCAUAUAUAUAUAUAAGUAUAUAUGCAUACAUAUAUGAGUAUAUACAAACACAUACAGCCACACAUACACAUAUAUAUAUAUAUAUAUGAAUGUAUGUGUAGUUUUAUGUAGAUGUGCAUAUAUAGUAUGUAUUUUGUAUGGGACUUGUGUACAUCUAUGUAUAUUGAUGUAUAAGUGUGUAUGUAAGAAUGCUAAAGUACAUUUUUGGGCAUUUAUGUAUAUGUAUAUACUUACAUAUAUAUGUCAUUAUAAUAGUGUGUGUGUGUAUGCACAUGUAGAUAGCUACAAAAUUGUGUAAUGUGUAAAUAUAUGGGAGUAUGUGCAUAUGUAUAUACAUAUUACAUUUCUAUAUACAAAAAUAUGUAUUAUUGUUUCGUAUGCAGAUAUACGUAUAUGUAUAUACAUACAUAUAUAUAUAUAUACAUAUAUAUAUAUAUAUACAUAUGUAUGUAUAUAUAUAUAUAUAUACACACAUAUAUAUAUAUAUAUAUACAUAUAUAUAUACCCACAUAUAUAUAUAUACAAAUAUAUAUAUAUAUAUAUACAUAGCUCAAAUUUAUAGAAAAAAGACUAAGGCAGGUUUAGGAACACACCCUUAUACUUACAUAUAUGUGUGUGUCUAUAUGUGUGUGUUGUGUAUAUGCACGUACAGAGGGAUGUAUCUAUCUAUCUAUCUAUCUAUCUCUCUCUCUCUCUCUCUCUCUCUCUAUAUAUAUAUAUAUAUAUAUAUAUAUAUACACACAUAUAUAUACAUAUAUACAAGUAUAUAUACACACAUAUAGUUAUAUAUAUGUGAAUAUAUGUAAAGAUAUAACAGCAUAUGUGU
rnacentral:lncRNA from 1 species